UACAGAGGGUGCAAGCGUUGUUCGGAUUUAUUGGGCGUAAAGAGCGUGUAGGCGGCCAAACAGGUCAGCUGUGAAAACUCGAGGCUCAACCUCGAGACGUCGGUUGAAACCGUUUGGCUAGAGUCCGGAAGAGGAGUGUGGAAUUCCCGGUGUAGCGGUGAAAUGCGCAGAUAUCGGGAAGAACACCCGUGGCGAAGGCGGCACUCUGGGACGGUACUGACGCUGAGACGCGAAAGCGUGGGGAGCGAACAGG
rnacentral:rRNA from 1 species